UGGGGAAUAUUGCACAAUGGGGGAAACCCUGAUGCAGCGACGCCGCGUGGAGGAAGAAGGUCUUCGGAUUGUAAACUCCUGUUGUCGAGGAAGAUAAUGACGGUACUCAACAAGGAAGUGACGGCUAACUACGUGCCAGCAGCCGCGGUAAAACGUAGGUCACAAGCGUUGUCCGGAAUUACUGGGUGUAAAGGGAGCGCAGGCGGGAGAACAAGUUGGAAGUGAAAUCCAUGGGCUCAACCCAUGAACUGCUUUCAAAACUGUUUUCUUGAGUAGUGCAGAGGUAGGCGGAAUUCCCGGUGUAGCGGUGGAAUGCGUAGAUAUCGGGAGGAACACCAGUGGCGAAGGCGGCCUACUGGGCACCAACUGACGCUGAGGCUCGAAAGUGUGGGUAGCAAACAGGA
rnacentral:rRNA from 1 species